rnacentral:rRNA from 1 species
GUGAGUAACCUGCCCUCUUCUUUGGGAUAACGCCCGGAAACGGGUGCUAAUACUGGAUAUUCACUGAUCUUCGCAUGGGGGUUGGUGGAAAGGUUUUUUCUGGUGGGGGAUGGGCUCGCGGCCUAUCAGCUUGUUGGUGGGGUGAUGGCCUACCAAGGCUUUGACGGGUAGCCGGCCUGAGAGGGUGACCGGUCACAUUGGGACUGAGAUACGGCCCAGACUCCUACGGGAGGCAGCAGUGGGGAAUAUUGCACAAUGGGCGAAAGCCUGAUGCAGCGACACCGCGUGAGGGAUGGAGGCCUUCGGGUUGUAAACCUCUUUCGCUCAUGGUCAAGCCGCAACUUAGGGUUGUGGUGAGGGUAGUGGGUAAAGAAGCGCCGGCUAACUACGUGCCAGCAGCCGCGGUAAUACGUAGGGCGCGAGCGUUGUCCGGAAUUAUUGGGCGUAAAGGGCUUGUAGGCGGUUGGUCGCGUCUGCCGUGAAAUCCUCUGGCUUAACUGGGGGCGUGCGGUGGGUACGGGCUGACUUGAGUGCGGUAGGGGAGACUGGAACUCCUGGUGUAGCGGUGGAAUGCGCAGAUAUCAGGAAGAACACCGGUGGCGAAGGCGGGUCUCUGGGCCGUUACUGACGCUGAGGAGCGAAAGCGUGGGGAGCGAACAGGAUUAGAUACCCUGGUAGUCCACGCUGUAAACGUUGGGCACUAGGUGUGGGGGCCACCCGUGGUUUCUGCGCCGUAGCUAACGCUUUAAGUGCCCCGCCUGGGGAGUACGGCCGCAAGGCUAAAACUCAAAGGAAUUGACGGC